rnacentral:rRNA from 1 species
AUCGUACGGGAGGCAGCAGUAGGGAAUCUUCGGCAAGUGGGGGGAACCCUGACCGAGCAACGCCGCGUGAGUGAAGAAGGUUUUCGGAUCGUAAAGCUCUGUUGUUAAGGAAGAACGAGUGUGAGAAUGGAAAGUUCAUACUGUGACGGUACUUAACCAGAAAGGGACGGCUAACUACGUGCCAGCAGCCGCGGUAAUCGAU